UCGCCACCGGAGAAAGGAGCUGCAUCUCUGUGUUUCUGACCACCGGGAGUGGUUAUAUGGCUUCCGGGAUCACCGCCGAAGCUCCUGGCUGAGUUUCUGCCACUUGAGACCCUGCUGCCAUCGCUGGAAAAGUUUGCCGUUGUCGUGAUCAGAAUUUGUCGCCGCUGCCGCUUGAGGUGGCUGCUGAGUUGCCGCUGAACCGGCUCGGAGACCGCCGCUAUUUCGGUUCAGCCGUUCCUUCUUCGGUUCGAGUUGUUGAGACUGUUGCGAAAGUGGCUUGGAGCUGAGGUUUUGGUUG